GUCCCUGUAGCGCUGUCCAGAUAGCGCGUUGGACUUCUGAUCCAAAGGUCGUGGGUUUUGAAUCCCAUCUGGAAUG